rnacentral:rRNA from 1 species
UACGGAGGGGGCGAGCGUUGUUCGGAAUUACUGGGCGUAAAGGGCGCGUAGGCGGCCUGCUAAGUCGGACGUGAAAUCCCCGGGCUCAACCCGGGAACUGCGUCCGAUACUGGUGGGCUUGAAUCCGGGAGAGGGAUGUGGAAUUCCAGGUGUAGCGGUGAAAUGCGUAGAUAUCUGGAGGAACACCGGUGGCGAAGGCGGCAUCCUGGACCGGUAUUGACGCUGAGGCGCGAAAGCCAGGGGAGCAAACGGG